AGAAGUAGUUGUAAUGGAAGGAGUAGCUCACUUCCUCACCGAAGAAAAGCCAGAGGAAAUCAGUGCACAUAUUUACGACUUUAUCGAGAAAUUUUAAACUGGCAAUAAAGUGCCUAAAAAAGGCUCCAUAGUGGUUGGACUUGGACCCCAUCUCAGCUCUUGGUGGCAUCCACUGUGUUCUAUUACUUUCCUGGCAGUUUAUUGUCCUUUUCUCAUCUUUACAAGAAAUAAAUACUCAUCUUUGGACCAGAAUUGAGAUUUGAGAUAAGUUUAAAUGGUAUAUCUCAUAAAGAGAGAUCUUAUUGUAGAACUUAGAAUAGUUCUUGAAGUUGAUAGUUUAUGCUGCUCCUAUCUUUUGCAAGUUCUAAUGGCAAGAAAAUAUACCUGUCAGCCGAGGGGACUUGUUGCUUCAAUAUUUGUCUUGGGAGUCCAAACUUGCGUUGAAAAGAAAAACGAGUGAUUGCAUGCAGUCGUGAUGUUUUCUAGUUGGAGUCAUAAUUAUUGAUAAUCAACAUUAGGAUUCAUUAUUAUAUUUGAGAAUAUUAGUAGCUAAGCAGGAUUACUAGAAUCUGCUUCUGAUAUUAUAAGCAGUUUGUGAGUUGGUCAUCGGUGCCUCAGGAAAGUAGGAAGAAUAACAGCUGUCAGCUGUAACAUGCACCAUAUAAUAGCAAUCGUAACAGUUCAU
rnacentral:misc_RNA from 1 species